AUUCAGGCAGUCUCUUGAAUUGGCUGGAACACCUGAUAAACUUGCACUAACAUCAGCUUCGAAGCUGCUGGACACACCAUCCUACCUGCUCCGGGCAGAAAUAGCUGUUCUUACUCGCCUGUCAAAGACAGAUACUUUCUCUUCGUCUUUGUUAGGGGAAAAUUAAAAAUGCUAAAAAAGAACACUGUAAGAAUUUACUGAAGAGCACUUAAAAUCUCCAAGCAGCCAUGGAUGUUAGACCUAAUGACAGCUGAGGGUCCAUGAUCCUGGCUAUGGGCGUGUCAGCACUGGCAUGGGAAGCACCAACGGUCAAAGUCAAUAAUGACACCUGCCUUCACUCUGGGAAGUACGUACUACUUCCCCAAGGAGUGGGGAAUGCGUAAGAAAGUCCAACACCUGGAUUAUGGAUCAAGUCACUACAUGGACACAUCAAAUGAACAAUUGGGAAUAGGACCCUCACGUGUGAUCACACAAAGAGUUGUAAGAGUACUUUAUAUUUAACAGCACCAGGGCAGCCAGUUCAGCUAACACUCGGGUGUAACAAUGAGAACUGGACUGGGUUGGUGAAAUGGGGGUGUAGAACGCACACGCCCCUACCAGUUUUUUUUCCUCAACAAGCAUUUGGAUGUAUCACGAGAUUAAUGUGACCGCCAGAUGGGCAGACCUACCUCCCUUUGGGAACCGAGUCUUGAGGGACAAUAUUGUCAAGAAACAUGUAAAUUUGUAAUAGAUAGGCAUGAUUGUUAUGAUACACAACUGUUUUAUUUUGACUAUGUGUGGCAAUCAAAGACCCACUCAAUGUCCAGAUGUAGUAAGUCCCCCCACCAAAAAUCCGGAUGGGAUAGUCAGGCUAGGAAAGUCAAAACCACUAUUACAUGAUGUAACUAUGGUCUCCCUGGAAGUGACAUAUAAUAUCUUGGGACUACUGUCAGUAUUGCUUAUGACUUGUCACAGCCACCAGAAUUCCAUAAAAUGGGCUAGAAGCCAACUGAAAAGGAUAGUCAAUGACUAUAAAUUUUGAAUCGUUCCGAGAAUUAGAGCAAAAGCACAGGUUAGGUUAAAAAGUAGUAUACUAGGAGACAUCAGAGGGCUAUUUGGGAGUGCAAAUUCCAUACUUAAUUCAGGUCAGAUCUAUGACUGAAAUGAUUAUGCCUCCUGGGUGGUUGCUGAGACUGCCCAAGGACUGCACAAUGGUGUGCGCGGGUCAGGAUAUGCCCUGACAUUCUUAGAGCUACAAGGAGAGGGUCUGCUACAGAUUCUUAGGCAGACCGCAGAUGGGAUAAUAGACACAGCUGAAUCACAAACCACAGGGAGGGCUUGUGAUAUGCUAGCACGAGACUUGAUUGAUGGGGUGAAAUCCGACAUGGAGGAUAUCAGGUUCGGAACAAUUCCUGAACACAUGUUCGAGUCAGUUUACCAAUUAAACCUCAUAAAUUUAUGCAAGGAGCGGCAGGAAUUGGUGAUUACACAACCCCAAGGUGGAGGAGAGGAUGGAGUUAUAAAAUUUAUCAUGGCCAUUCCCCAAGAACAUCAUCCAAACAGGGCUUUCCUGAACAGCUCUAGGUUCGAGUCCCGAGGAGUAGAUAAAGGGAGGAUAGUAUUCUGCGUAGGGCUACGUGGAUAUAUAUCUUAUGUAAAAGAGAUGGUACCGAUGAGUACUAGAGACUGUUGUUCAGAAUCAAGAAAUUACAUUGUGUGCUCAUGCCAAACGCUGGAGAUAUUUACAAACACAAGCAAAGUUACCUUCUCCGCUUUGCCGAUACAGGAAGCAUUUAAGGCAAUUCAGGUAUCCUCAACUCAAUGAUGCUUCAUGACCAGCGAGACUGAGUUCCUUUAUGGGGGCUUACUUUGUGCUAGCAACUCGAGUAUCUGCCUACAGGUGAUCGAUCAAUUUACUAUAAGAGACUUCCAUUUGCCAGGCAGAACCACAGGAUACUUGUUUAGCCCUUGGUGGGAUGUCACACUGUUCAUUGAUCAAAUUCCUGCCAGAAUAGCACGCUUAGCCACGCAGGAAGCCACAAGAAUAGUUCAAUCAUAAGUAGAAGCUUCUAGAGAGCAAAUCACAAGGGGGCGUGUACAAGUGGAUUUAGCCACCCAAUUGGCCAGGAGUUUAGCCUAAUCAGCUACUUCCUAUGCUACGGCCGGGAGAUUGAUGAAUUGGUGGGAAAUGCUUAGAAUGGGUAUGACGAUAGCCGCAGGAAUUAUGCUCUGAUGGGCUAUCGGACUCUGCUGUUACCAAUGUAAAAUCUGGAAAGGGACUUUCCAGGCACAGACAGUAACAAACCAAAGGUGUGCAUCAGUUCGCCGGCCUAUGCAUAUUUCAAGGGGGAGGACAGGAAAAGGGAAAGUGAUGUUAUACAACCAGGUGGUUUAGGAUUGCUCUGGCGGUCUGGACGACUGGCCACCUGAAGAACCAAAAGAGGAAUUCUCAAGUUAAGGUGUGGCCAGCUUGGGCUUUGCCAAGGGCCAAAAGGGAAGACUGUUAGGGGAAAAUUAAAAAUGCUAAAAGAGAACACUAUAAGAAUUUACCGGAGAGCACUUAAAAGCUCCAGGCAGCCAUGGAUGUUAGACCUAAUGACAGCUGAGGGUAAGCAAAUGAACAUUGCACACAAAGGAGCUUUGAGUUUUGUGUGAUUUACACAGUUUCAAGAGAUGAGCUAAUGUCCAGCCACAGGCAGAACCAUUCCAGUGGUACAACGAUGCGAUGAAGCCUUGAGAGCUGGACUGGAGAUAAAACAUAACAUAAAGUUAGUUUAGGUAUACUCGUCUCUCAGAUAGCGACAGGGCAGAUGCUUUUAGCUUAGAUAUGGGAAAACGUACAAUGGACAGAGGGGUCUUUGAUGAAACAACAGCAAUCUUGAGUUGUGAGAACCAAGGUCUUGCGUACGUGUUUUAAUUUUGAUUGGAUAAUAUAAUUAUGUAUACACCCUUUAGAAUAAUUGGUUAGCAAAAACACAUGUUUAUGUACUCAAUAGGAUAGUUUUAAAAUGGUACCUAUGUGUAGGUUACCGAUUGGUUAUAUACAAAUGAAUUAUGAUAAGAAAAUGUACAAAAGUAGUGAAAUGUAAUCAAUCUGGUAGCUGGGUUUUCAUUCUUAGGAAUGAUUGCAGCUCCCUUGCAUAUGCUUGAAUAAAACCAGUAAAGGAA